CUCCCGGCAGCGCUCCCGCCCUGCCGACAGCCCCGGGCCCGCUGUCCCGACGUGGGGGUCCCGCUCCGGGCGCACCGCCGCGCUUCCCCGUCCUUCCCGAGCGCGGGGCCGGCUCGCUGGGAUGCUAGGAGUUCACCAGAUCUUUUUAUGUGGUUGCUGGAGCAUUGCCCUGGGACAGCAGUAAUGAUGGAUGGAUGAACAGAACACACUUCAGGUGUCCGACACUGGUGAUCUCUCUGACCAGACAAGCAGCGGAGCAGCCGGAGAUGGGCCCGACCCACGCCCCAAGAGAGGGAUCUGCGGGGUGCACGGGAACCCUCUGCUCUCGGGAGCCUGACCACGGUGUGGUCGUGUGGCACAGCAACAAGGAAGGGAUGGGUGCAACCGAAGUGCCAAAACUGACGGUAUUUAUUAAAUAAAUAAAAGGGCACAAACAAGGAUGCAAAACAAAACAUGAAGAGGCUGCUUUGGAAGACCUUGAAGUGCGGCUGACACACAUCUAUGU
rnacentral:lncRNA from 1 species